UCUAACAGGGGAGCCUCAGCUGGUCGGGGGACCGCAGGUCGUGUAGGUGAGGCUGGGCCCUUCCUGCUGGGGAAAAGCAGAAGAGCAAGAGUCAGCGCAGGUGCAGAGCGGCAGGCGGGUUCACUGGGUGAGUGUGGGGGGGGCCCUGCCGGGACAACUCAGAG